AGUGAACGUUGGCGGCGUGGAUUAGGCAUGCAAGUCGAGCGAGAACCGUAGCAAUACGGGGACAGCGGCGAAAGGGACAGUAAUGUGUAGGUACCUACCCCGAGGUCUGGGAUAGCUGCGGGAAACUGCAGGUAAUACCGGAUAAUGUCUUCGGACCAAAGGUGUGAUUCCACCUUGGGAGGGGCCUGCAUCCUAUUAGCUAGUUGGCGGGGUAAUGGCCCACCAAGGCAACGAUGGGUAGCGGGUGUGAGAGCACGACCUGCGUCAUUGGGACUGAGAUACUGCCCAGACACCUACGGGUGGCUGCAGGCGAGGAUCUUCGGCAAUGGGCGAAAGCCUGACCGGGCAAAGCCGCGUGCGGGAUGAAGGCCUUCGGGUUGUAAACCGCUGUCGUAGAGGAGGAAAUGCAGGGGGGUUCUCCCUUCUGUUUGACCUAUUCUAGGAGGAAGGACGGGCUAAGUUCGUGCCAGCAGCCGCCGUAA
rnacentral:rRNA from 1 species